UACAGAGGGUGCGAGCGUUAAUCGGAAUUACUGGGCGUAAAGCGUGCGUAGACGGUUACAUAAGUCGGGUGUGAAAGCCCCGGGCUCAACCUGGGAAUUGCAUUCGAGACUGCGUAGCUAGGGUGCGGAAGAGGGAAGCGGAAUUCCCGGUGUAGCGGUGGAAUGCGUAGAGAUCGGGAAGAACAUCAGUGGCGAAGGCGGCCUGCUGGGCUGUUGCUGACGCUGAGGCGCGACAGCGUGGGGAGCAAACAGG
rnacentral:rRNA from 1 species